rnacentral:tRNA from 1 species
GCGGGUGUAGUACAAUGGUUAGUACAUCGGCUUCCCAAGCCGAGGACGGCGGUUCGAUUCCGCUCACCCGCU